rnacentral:rRNA from 1 species
AUUGAACGCUGGCGGCAUGCCUAACACAUGCAAGUCGAACGAGUGGCGGACGGGUGAGUAAUGUCUGGGAAACUGCCUGAUGGAGGGGGAUAAAUACUGGAAACGGUAGCUAAUACCGCAUACCAUCAGAUGUGCCCAGAUGGGAUGGGCUGGUUGGGGGGGUAACGGCUCACAAGGGCGACGAUCGCGAGCUGGUCUGAGAGGAGGACCAGCCACUCGGGAAUGGGGACACGGCCCAGACUCCAACGGGGGGCAGCAGGGGGAAAUAUUGCACAAUGGGCACAAUCCGGCGGCAGCCAUGCCGCGUGUAUGAAGAGGGCCUUCGGGUUGUAAAGUACUUUAAGCGGGGAGGCGGUACCCGCAGAAGAAGCAACGGCUAACUCCGUGCCAGCAGCCGCGGUAAUAC